CCAAAAUGUAGAUUUAUUUGUAAAAAAUAAGUAAAUCAAUAUGUACAUGGUACAUUGUGUCUUGAUUGCAGCAGAAAUAUAACAGUAUAUAAAUAUAUAUAUUUGUUUCUGUUUCCAAAUCUGAAGUAUUAAAACAGCUUUUAAACUGAACAAUACAUUUUAUCAUGAGUCAGGCAAAAGAUGCUACACUUUUAUCCUUCCAUCACUCCUCAGUGUUUCUAAUCUAUGCAGACAAGUCAAAUGUCUUUUGUCUGGAUUUUUAAUGCUUAUCGAUUUAGUUUUGAUUAGUUUGUCCUAGUUGCAUGACCACAGAUUAUCUUUUGGACACAGGAAAGUGUUGAAAGAUUUGUAGGGGUUCAAAAACAGACAAUAGCAGGAAAAGAGAUCUCCUGUUCUGGGCGUGCACGCUCAUUGUGUCCCAGCUGUGACCUUCCAUACACUAUGAUGCAUAUAAGCAGAUCCAUGUUUCAGAGUUUACUUUCUGCCAUCACUGUAGCACACAUAUAAUCAGAGGAAUGGUUCACAGAUCAACUGUUAAAAACAACAAAAAAUUCCUCUGUUGCACAGUUUUGGUAUCAAUCACAGUUCAGACAUAACAGCAGUAAAAGAAAAAUUCAAACACAUUUUAGAAGUUCUGUAAUUUAAAAAAAAUGACAUUGUCCACUAGGUGUACAACAUUGUGAGAAGCGUCAACAUAAAUGUAUUUUACUUUAAUAUUUGCAAGCUUCCGAGUUUUUGUCAUUAAAACCCCUGAAUAGUAGCUAUCCUACUUGAAAAAACAUAUACAUUUUUGGUUAUGUUUCAUUCAUUGUUAUGAGUUAAUUUUUUAAUCGUGUAGAGCGUUCAUUGUUAGAAUAAAAACAAUGUUUGUUUUUUCUCUCACAGCCUUCUGCUAAAGUCCCACUGAAAUGAAACUAUAUAUAAAAUAUAAUCACACAGCCACUCUCACCUUUGGGGAAAAAACUGUAAUUACCUGUAAGAAACCUGUAAAUUUAGAAAUGUACUUGUUUUUAAAUUUAGCUCCUGCAAUAGUGCAAAAGGCAGUCAUAAUGUCUCUGGUGAGCUUUGUAUUCUCAUAAGAGCUAAAAACCAACAUACUUUAAAACACAACCCACGUUAGUAUUCAAGCUAACGCUACUUCCUUAUCAACAAGUAUUGACACAUCUCGUAUUGCGCCGUGGCUGACUUGAGUGACUACACAAGGGACAUGAAGUGUUUUCUCCACUGUGGAGCCAAAUACACUUAAAUUAGACAGGCUAGGUGAUUAGCUUGCCUGCUGUAACUGCAUCUGUAGCAGUUACAGCUACUUGGUUAGCUCUUUAGCUGCAAUAUUCACAACAGCUUCAAAACCUAACCUGCAAAUGUGAUGACUGUUGAGUUUAGAUGUACUUAUUUAUUUUUAAUGCCCCUUACAACAGAAUUCUGUCUGUGAGUGUUAUGUAAUCUAUUAUAUCCAGGUGUUAGGACAGACAGCUAUAAUUGUAAUUGCCACUGUCAGCAUCACGCUAUACUUCCUGGAGAUGUGUACCAACAUCUUGAAAAGGGCAAAGCAAACCAUCAGCUUGCCAAAACAAUACUACUAAAGACGUCCUUGUUUAUAUUAUUUUGGUUGGCGCAUUUGCUGAUCGACGAAUUAAGUAGUGACGCUAGCUAACAUAGUGUUGCUAGCUGCAAUCCCCGUCAAUCUAUUUCCAGAUAGCUUUGUAGCCUCAGAGGAGGCUAUAUUUUUCUUUCCUGUAAUCUUUCUUUAACUUCAAAUGAAAGCAAAUUUGUGCUAUAGUUGUAAAGGCAAACCCUUUGUGUUCUCAAUCUUGAACAUCCAACAAUGCUCAUUUUUGUCAUGUUUAAUCACUAAUACAUCUACUACCUCCGCUUCGUCCCCUUAAUUCACCAUGCUAAAUGUGUUUACUUUGCCCUUA